CCCUUAGAUGUUCUGGGCCGCACGCGCGCUACACUGACACGUUCAUCAAGUCUAUAACCUUGACCGAGAGGUCUGGGUAAUCUUUUAAAAACGUGCCGUGCUGGGGAUAGAUUAUUGCAAUUAUUAAUCUUCAACGAGGAAUUCCUAGUAAACGCAAGUCAUCAACUUGCAUUGAUUACGUCCCUGCCCUUUGUACACACCGCCCGUCGCUACUACCGAUUGAAUGAUUUAGUGAGUACCAGGGACCGAGCGCUUUGGUUGGGUUUCCUUCCCUAGCGCUUGGGAACUGUCGCAAACUUGACCAUUUAGAGGAAGUAAAAGUCGUAACA
rnacentral:rRNA from 1 species